rnacentral:rRNA from 1 species
GAUGAACGCUGGCGGCGUGCCUAAUACAUGCAAGUCGAGCGAACGGACGAGAAGCCUGCUGCUCUGAUGUUAGCGGCGGACGGGUGAGUAACACGUGGAUAACCUACCUAUAAGACUGGGAUAACUUCGGGAAACCGGCGCUUAUACCGGAGGAUCUUUUGAACCGCAUGGUUGAAAGGUGAAAGACGGUCUUGCUGUCACUUCUAGCUGGUUCCGCGCUGCAUUAGAUAGUUGGUAAGGUAACGGGUUACCAAGGCAAGGAGGCAUAGCCGACCUGAGAGGGGGGUCGGCCACACUGGAAGUGGAACAGGCUCCAGGCUCCUACGGGAGGCAGCAGUCGGUAAUGGUCCGCAAAGGGCGGGAGCCUUGCGGAGCGGCGCCGCGUGAGUGAUGAAGGUGUUCGGAGCGUGAAACUGUGUUAUUAGGGAAGAACCGAUGUGGAAGUAACUGUACCCAUCGUGACGGUACCGGAUCAGAAAGCCACGGCUAACUACGUG